UGGGGAAUUUUGGACAAUGGGCGCAAGCCUGAUCCAGCCAUGCCGCGUGCGGGAAGAAGGCCUUCGGGUUGUAAACCGCUUUUGUCAGGGAAGAAAUCCUCUGAGCUAAUACCUCGGGGGGAUGACGGUACCUGGAGAAUAAGCACCGGCUAACUACGUGCCAGCAGCCGCGGUAAUACGUAGGGUGCAAGCGUUAAUCGGAAUUACUGGGCGUAAAGCGUGCGCAGGCGGUUGUGCAAGACAGGUGUGAAAUCCCCGGGCUUAACCUGGGAACUGCACUUGUGACUGCACGGCUGGAGUACGGCAGAGGGGGAUGGAAUUCCGCGUGUAGCAGUGAAAUGCGUAGAUACGCGGAGGAACACCGAUGGCGAAGGCAGUCCCCUGGGCCUGUACUGACGCUCAUGCACGAAAGCGUGGGGAGCAAACAGGAUUAGAUACCCUGGUAGUCCACGCCCUAAACGAUGUCAACUGGUUGUUGGGAGGGUUCCUUCUCAGUAACGUAGCUAACGCGUGAAGUUGACCGCCUGGGGAGUACGGCCGCAAGGUUG
rnacentral:rRNA from 1 species